AAAUGAAUAGACGGGGACCCGCACAAGCAGUGGAGUAUGUGGUUUAAUUCGAAGCAACGCGAAGAACCUUACCAGGUCUUGACAUCCCUCUGACCCCUCUAGAGAUAGAGGUUUCCUUCGGGACAGAGGAGACAGGUGGUGCAUGGUUGUCGUCAGCUCGUGUCGUGAGAUGUUGGGUUAAGUCCCGCAACGAGCGCAACCCUUGAUCUUAGUUGCCAGCAUUUCGGAUGGGCACUCUAAGGUGACUGCCGGUGACAAACCGGAGGAAGGUGGGGAUGACGUCAAAUCAUCAUGCCCCUUAUGACCUGGGCUACACACGUACUACAAUGGCCAGUACAACGGGAAGCGAAACCGCGAGGUGGAGCGAAUCCUAUCAAAGCUGGUCUCAGUUCGGAUUGCAGGCUGCAACUCGCCUGCAUGAAGUCGGAAUUGCUAGUAAUCGCGGAUCAGCAUGCCGCGGUGAAUACGUUCCCGGGUCUUGUACACACCGCCCGU
rnacentral:rRNA from 1 species